rnacentral:rRNA from 1 species
UACGGGAGGCAGCAGUGGGGAAUAUUGCACAAUGGGCGCAAGCCUGAUGCAGCCAUGCCGCGUGUAUGAAGAAGGCCUUCGGGUUGUAAAGUACUUUCAGCGGGGAGGAAGGCGAUGCGGUUAAUAACCGCGUCGAUUGACGUUACCCGCAGAAGAAGCACCGGCUAACUCCGUGCCAGCAGCCGCGGUAAUACGGAGGGUGCAAGCGUUAAUCGGAAUUACUGGGCGUAAAGCGCACGCAGGCGGUCUGUUAAGUCAGAUGUGAAAUCCCCGGGCUUAACCUGGGAACUGCAUUUUGAACUGGCAGGCUUGAGUCUUGUAGAGGGGGUAGAAUUCCAGGUGUAGCGGUGAAAUGCGUAGAGAUCUGGAGGAAUACCGGUGGCGAAGGCGGCCCCUGGACAAGACUGACGCUCAGGUGCGAAAGCGUGGGGAGCAAACGAGGAUUAGAUACC